AGUGAACGCUGGCGGUAGGCCUAACACAUGCAAGUCGAACGGCAGCACAGUAAGAGCUUGCUCUUACGGGUGGCGAGUGGCGGACGGGUGAGGAAUACAUCGGAAUCUACUUUUUCGUGGGGGAUAACGUAGGGAAACUUACGCUAAUACCGCAUACGACCUACGGGUGAAAGCAGGGGAUCUUCGGACCUUGCGCGAUUGAAUGAGCCGAUGUCGGAUUAGCUAGUUGGCGGGGUAAAGGCCCACCAAGGCGACGAUCCGUAGCUGGUCUGAGAGGAUGAUCAGCCACACUGGAACUGAGACACGGUCCAGACUCCUACGGGAGGCAGCAGUGGGGAAUAUUGGACAAUGGGCGCAAGCCUGAUCCAGCCAUACCGCGUGUGUGAAGAAGGCCUUCGGGUUGUAAAGCCCUUCUGUUGGGAAAGAAAAGCAGCAGGUUAAUACCCCGCUGUUCUGACGGUACCCAAAGAAUAAGCACCGGCUAACUUCGUG
rnacentral:rRNA from 1 species